GGUACCGAUUGGACCCCGUUUUAUUAAUAUAAAGCUAUUAAAUACGUAUUUUCAUGUCAUAUACGAUCCAAAGGGGUACCAAUUAUUUGUAAAUAUAAAUAGACCUUUCUAGAGCUUAUUUUCACCGUAGAAAUCAUUUCACCAGUUUCUCUGCACGAAUACCGAGAGAAACCGAGCGGUGUUCUUCGUGUUCUUCAUAAUCAAACGAAGAUUUGAAGGUGUUAUUGGAAUCCGAUGGAGGCGUAUGAAUAGUCAAAACGAAGCUAUCGACGCGUAGAAUCCAGUUUAAUCAAUCAUAACCGUGCAGAUUUCACGGGAUUUGGACGAGACGUGUACGCUCGAAGACGUCAGAAAGUCGGAAUGGUAUUGCAAAGCGAAUAAGGGAUGAAUCGAGUAAGCGAAGCGAUGUGGCGAAUAGAGUAUAGCUAGAGAUGGUCUAGAGAUUAUGAGAUGCAUAGAUUGUGAAAGUGGAAAGAUGAGAAUGAGCUGUGAGACGGGAGUCAGAUUUAAGAAAGGAUUAAAGAUGAAUGGCUAGACUAUGAUUGCGAGUAAGGCUAAUGCUAGGCGAGGAGACAGAGUUGAGGAUCCAGUGGUCGAGGAGUGUUCAGGAAAGUUGAUGAGGUUGGUGCAAGCUGGAAUAGUUGACAGUGAUUCUUCUUAUCGAAGAUGAUCUGAUUUGGUAAGAGAUGUUGUGUAAUAAUAGUGGUAGAUUCUAAUUUCAAUACUGUAACCUGGAUGCGAUCCUGUUGCUUUUAGGGGGUUUAAAUGUUGUCUUGAAAUUCUCCUAU